rnacentral:lncRNA from 1 species
GGAAAUAGUUAUAUUUUUUUUUAUAUUGAUUUUUUUUUUUUUAAAAAAUAACUAUAUAAAAAAAUAUACGUACUAUGGAUGCAUUAGAACAUCAAUGGGAUGACAAGGUUAACCUUUUCCAUUUUAAAAUAAACACACUAGCAAACGAAAUGACCCAAAUCAAGCGGGAUACACAAAAUGCUUACAUGUUAAGAAAUAAGCAGACACUUAUAACUAGAUGCAAUAACAUUACAAAAAGAAGAGAGAUAAUAAGUACCAAUAAUUAUGAAGUGAAAAACAAUUUAAAAAAAAUAACGAUGAAUAGUAACACUAAUAGUAACAUGAAUAGUAACACUAACAUUAAAACUAUUAGUAAUAAUAGUAGAAACGUUAGUAAUAAUAUGGAUAGUAACACUAGUAGCAACACGAACAGCCACAUAAAUAGCCGCAUGAAUAGCAACAUGAAUAGCCACGUGAAUAGCAACAUGAAUAGCCACGNNNNNNNNNNACGUGAAUAGCAACAUGAAUAGCCACGUGAAUAGCAACAUGAAUAGCAACAUUAAUCGUAACAGUAACAACAAUGGUUUUACUUAUAUUGUUAAAAAUUCUAACAUUAUUAGACUAGAUAAUGUUGCUUUUCCUGCAACUAAAACUACAUCUAACAAAGUUAUAAAAACUAAUGACACCAAAUUAGUUGAUCAAAAAAAUAAUUGGCAAUUUAACUUAAGAACUAAAAGAAAAAACGAUAAACCUAUUAAAUUGAAUGAAAAAAGAUGGUUAAUCGCGAAAAAACAUAUUAAAGUUGAAAAAUCUCAAAAUAAUGAAGAGGAAAAUAAUUUAGAAAAAGAACAAAACAAAAAAAGUAAAAUGUUAUAUUUGGAGGGAGAAGAAGGAAAUAUACAAAUGUAUCCUUUAUACACUGACUCGGAAAUAGGGUUUGAUGCAAUAUCACAUAUAGAAGAAGAAAAUUUAGUAACAGUAAAAAAAAAAAACCAAGAUGAUGAUGACAUAAAAACAACCAAAUAUUUAGCUCAGUGGAGUUCGGAUUUAGUUUACAAAUAUCUUGAAGAAUCAAUUGAAAAAGCAAAAUUAAUAUUUCAUGAUUUAGAUGUUAAUUCAAGACAUGCGGAAUUAUUAAAAAGAGUAAACUGGUAAACACAUUAAGGAAUUAAAAAAAAAGUGGAAUUACAAUAAAUGAAUAAUUAAAAAAAGUGGAAAAGAUGCU